GGCGGGAUAGCUCAGUUGGUAGAGCAACGGACUGAAAAUCCGUGUGUCCCCAGUUCAAUUCUGGGUCCCGCCA
rnacentral:tRNA from 1 species